rnacentral:lncRNA from 1 species
CUCCACUGCAACCUUUGGACUAGUUUUUGACGAGCUAGCUAGCUAACCCAACACUAACCAGAUUGACAGAAUAGAACAUCACAAGUCUGGAGUGUGACUAUUUAUAAACAUUUGAGCUUUCUUUUGCUUUGUCAGGUGUGCUAUACUUUUAAAAUUAAGAAUAUUUUAAAAAUUAUCUUUUUGACAAUUUUACAUAUAUGUCUAGUAUACCCUGUUCAUAUCCUUGGUUACCCCUCUCACUUUAUGUCCUUUUUAAAAAGUUCUCAUGUCCUUAUUGUUUUUAUGUGUAUGAUGUCUUAUCAAUAUGUAUGUUUGCAUUGUGUGCACACAGUGGAGUGCCUGGGGAGGCCAGAAGAAAGAGUAUAGGAUUUCCUAAAACAGGAGUUAGAAACAGUUCUUAUUUACCACGUGUGCUGGGAACCUAACCUCCAUCCUCUGGAAGAGCUAUCAGUGCACUUAACCUCUAAGCAGCCCCUCCUUUGUUUUCUUUUUAAAUGAUUUCACUGAGUUGAAUUAAUGUAGGCUACAUGUACAUGGAUGUGGGACCAACCGCCAGAGCUUGGGCAAUCCACCAGUGGUGCCUGCCUGCAAAACAAACACAAAUCUUUAUCUACCUCCCUGAGCAGCCAUCAACACCAGUGGUACUCACUUGGGGUGGAACCUCAUGAGUACCUUCCCCAUCCAUGAUGUGAGCUUAAUUGGCUUAAAUCUUAUGUAGGUCUUGUGCAGAUAAGCAGAGAGUUGCUGUGAGAUCAUGAGUACAUUGUCCAUGUCAGAAUACAGCACCCCUCAGCAUUCCUUCCCAACCCACCAGCUUCUCCUUUCUUUCUACCACUUCCUCCCUGAAGUUCCCUAAGCCUUGGGGAUAAAGAGUCAUACUGAGGGCUGAGCAGCUACCUAGUAGUCACUUAGUCUUAGCCCUUUGACCAUCAGGAAUCUCUGCAUGACUGCUUCCCACUGCAGAGAGAGGCUUCUCCAGCUAGUGCCUGGGGGUUGGUGUAAUGGGAUGCUACUACAUUAUUAUAUUUUGGCAGGUUGAUGAGGUUUCUUUUUAUGUUCAGUAAAUAAUUCUGUAUUUUUAGUUUGAUUGGAUAGAUUUGGGUUUUACCGUCUUGAUUGAUCAUAUCUAUUGUAGGAUGAUAGCCAAACUGCUAUGAAAUAAAGACUUGUAAUGCUGGUCUUUGGAGGGUGCCAUCUUCCAUUUGUGAAGGUGAGCUCAUAAUCCUUUGGUUUAGGACUGUUAAAGGCAUGCCAACUUUAGAGUAAGAAAAUACGCUGCAUUUAUUGGGAGCUAAAUGCAUUUUGAAUUUAGGACUUUAAAUCUGUUGUAACAUUAGGUACUGAGUCUCCCAUCCUGGUUAAACUGUCCUUUUGAGAACUGAUAGGUGCCUGGGAUUGAAUUGUUAUGCAGGACUCUGGUGUAGUGCUGCUGCUUAUCUGCACUGUACCUUUCUGUGACAAGGGACUUCUGAGGAUGUACCGCUGAGUAAUACACUUAAAAUAGUUAGCCAAAGUCUGACUGUCAACUUCAUUCUUCAUAGGGAGAAACUGUUACUCUCUUUUACAGAUGGAAUUAUAUGGAUAAAAUGUAGACAUACUUGGUGAAGUAAAAGGUCUGUACGAGUGUGGUAUGGUCUUACUACAUUCAGAUGGCCAAUGUUUUUGAAGCAAAUAGUGUGUGUCAACAAAACCAAAACCUAAUUUUGAUGCAGCUCUAAUUAAAGUGUAAACAGAAGUCAUAUACUCUCUUGAUUGUAGUGUGUGUUGUGAAAAAAUUCAAAUGAAGAAUAGAAAAUGGACCAAGUCAUGGUGAUAUAGAUACGUUGCUAAAUUAGAGUUUUUGAGGCAUAUUUUUGGAGGUACCUUUGGAUUAUUUGGAAAAGUUCAUUUGUAAAGAAUCUGUCAAAAUAUGCCUGUUUCAGUGUUGUUAUAAGCAGUUAAAUAAAUGUUUUAUUCACAUAACUGAAAUGUUUGCAGCUUAAUUUUAGUUAUUUUUUUUUCUGCUGAAUUCUAAACAGGUAUUACAGGAAUUACUGAAGCAGUUAAGGAGAUUACACUGGAAAGCAAGGUAUUACUUAACGUUUCUAAAGUCAGUGACCCUAGUUUUUGCCUAUAUUUAAAUUUUAAAUUGUAUUUGUGUAUUUAUUUUGGGUGUGUGUAUGUGAAUGUGUGUAUAUCAAGGCAAGGAUGUAGAAAUCUGGUGGAUACCUUGGGGUAGUUGGUUCUCUUGUUUCGUGAGGUGGGCCCAGCAGAUAGAAUUCAGGUAAUCAGGCUUGUAACUAAUGAAUUGCAAUAAAAGUCCUAGUGUAAUAAAUAAAAGUCCUAGUGUAACUCCACUGGACAGUAAAUGCUUAAAAGGAAGAUUUGGGAGAGGUUGCCUUUGCUGAUGAGCAGGUGCUAAUGUUAUAUUAGUACUACAUUUUGUAGUUUAUUCUAACCAAUUUUAUUGUUUUGUUUCUUAAAUUACUGGUAGUAACUUCUAAAAUUCUGUUUUUAGAGGUUUCACUGUGUACUUUAGUAUCAGCCAAAAUGGUGACAUUUUGAAAAAUCGUUUAAGUUUGUGUGGGUAAACAUAAGUAUGAUUGGGUGAAGCUUUUGUGCGACUACAUUUGCAUUCGAUUUAGGUCAGACGUUUCAGCCCUUUUCUCAGAUUGAUUGCAUCUGCUUUAUAUUUUUAUGAUUGUUUGAAAUGCUAUG